AUAGGAGUUAAUGUUCUCCUAAUCUGGAAAUGCCAGCACUUGAUAGGAAUCAUUUGAGGCACUAGAAACUGGUUCCAUUUUGCAGAAACUCAAAUUAGCAACCCACAGAGCACAACACUGAAGCAAAUGGCUGCUUUCCUUCCAAGCUCUCCAACAUAAUUUGUGGAGAAGAUGCUUUGCUCCCUCAGGAGGUUGGCAAGUGGCUCUGUGUUAACUCAUUCCUCAUAUGCCCUGGAAAUGCA
rnacentral:lncRNA from 12 species